rnacentral:rRNA from 1 species
GAUGAACGCUGGCGGCGUGCUUAACACAUGCAAGUCGAACGGAAAGGCCCUGCUUUUGUGGGUUGCUCGAGUGGCGAACGGGUGAGUAACACGUGAGUAACCUGCCCUUGUCUUUGGGAUAACUUCAGGAAACUGGGGCUAUAACCGGAUAGGAGCUCCUGAUGCAUGGUGGGCGUUGGAAAGUGUCGGCGGUUGGGGAUGGGCUCGCGGCUUAUCAGCUUGUUGGUGGGGUAGUGGCUUACCAAGGCUUCGACGGGUAGCCGGCCUGAGAGGGUGACCGGCCACAUUGGGACUGAGAUACGGCCCAGACUCCUACGGGAGGCAGCAGUGGGGAAUAUUGCACAAUGGGCGGAAGCCUGAUGCAGCAACGCCGCGUGCGGGAUGACGGCCUUCGGGUUGUAAACCGCUUUCGCCUGUGACGAAGCGUGAGUGACGGUAAUGGGUAAAGAAGCACCGGCUAACUACGUG